CCGGUAAACGGCGGCCGUAACUAUAACGGUCCUAAGGUAGCGAAAUUCCUUGUCGGGUAAGUUCCGACCUGCACGAAUGGCGUAAUGAUGGCCAGGCUGUCUCCACCCGAGACUCAGUGAAAUUGAACUCGCUGUGAAGAUGCAGUGUACCCGCGGCAAGACGGAAAGACCCCGUGAACCUUUACUAUAGCUUGACACUGAACAUUGAGCCUUGAUGUGUAGGAUAGGUGGGAGGCUUUGAAGUGUGGACGCCAGUCUGCAUGGAGCCGACCUUGAAAUACCACCCUUUAAUGUUUGAUGUUCUAACGUUGGCCCCUGAUCGGGGUUGCGGACAGUGUCUGGUGGGUAGUUUGACUGGGGCGGUCUCCUCCUAAAGAGUAACGGAGGAGCACGAAGGUUGGCUAAUCCUGGUCGGACAUCAGGAGGUUAGUGCAAUGGCAUAAGCCAGCUUGACUGCGAGCGUGACGGCGCGAGCAGGUGCGAAAGCAGGUCAUAGUGAUCCGGUGGUUCUGAAUGGAAGGGCCAUCGCUCAACGGAUAAAAGGUACUCCGGGGAUAACAGGCUGAUACCGCCCAAGAGUUCAUAUCGACGGCGGUGUUUGGCACCUCGAUGUCGGCUCAUCACAUCCUGGGGCUGAAGUAGGUCCCAAGGGUAUGGCUGUUCGCCAUUUAAAGUGGUACGCGAGCUGGGUUUAGAACGUCGUGAGACAGUUCGGUCCCUAUCUGCCGUGGGCGCUGGAGAACUGAGGGGGGCUGCUCCUAGUACGAGAGGACCGGAGUGGACGCAUCACUGGUGUUCGGGUUGUCAUGCCAAUGGCACUGCCCGGUAGCUAAAUGCGGAAAAGAUAAGUGCUGAAAGCAUCUAAGCACGAAAC
rnacentral:rRNA from 1 species